GAUGAACGCUGGCGGCGUGCCUAAUACAUGCAAGUCGAGCGAAUGGAUUAAGAGCUUGCUCUUAUGAAGUUAGCGGCGGACGGGUGAGUAACACGUGGGUAACCUGCCCAUAAGACUGGGAUAACUCCGGGAAACCGGGGCUAAUACCGGAUAACAUUUUGAACCGCAUGGUUCGAAAUUGAAAGGCGGCUUCGGCUGUCACUUGUGGAUGGACCCGCGUCGCAUUAGCUAGUUGGUGAGGUAACGGCUCACCAAGGCAACGAUGCGUAGCCGACCUGAGAGGGUGAGCGGCCACACUGGGACUGAGACACGGCCCAGACUCCUACGGGAGGCAGCAGUAGGGAAUCUUCCGCAAUGGACGAAAGUCUGACGGAGCAACGCCGCGUGAGUGAUGAAGGCUUUCGGGUCGUAAAACUCUGUUGUUAGGGAGGAACAAGUGCUAGUUGAAUAAGCUGACACCUUGACGGUACCUAACCAGAAAGCCACGGCUAACUACGUGCCAGCCGCCGCAGUAA
rnacentral:rRNA from 1 species